UUCCGUGAGGGGGCGAGUCAGGAUCGUGUCACCCGGCCCGGGGUGACGCGGGGGCGAAGCGCGAUCGUGUCACCCACCCGGAGUGAGCUCCUGGGCCGAGAGCGGCCCCCGCAUCUUCCCCGCACCGGUCGGGAGGCUCCGCUCCGUCCCAACAUGGCGGGUGCUGCCUCAGCCCGUCCCGGCUGUCAGUGCUGCCGCGGGCCGGGGACGGACGGGCCGGGGAGGUCACGGGUGAAGAGCUGCUGGAUUGGUACAGAAUUGCCUGUGCUUAAGGUGUAGGAAGAAGUUAAUCAGAUCUUGUGGAUGCCUGAGCCAGUCAUCCUGUCUUCUAUAGCACCCUGCUUCAGACACUCCAGGGAAAAGUCUCAGUACCUUAAACUAAGGAGAUGUGAUUAUUCUGUCCCUUUCCUGUUUCAGAACAAGAACUUAUUUAAAUUUUCCCUCCACCAGCCUCUUUUACUAAUUGAUUUGAACCAUUUUUUUUGGUUAGGGUUCAAUUUUAUGAUAAUUUCUACAUUGCCUGCAGUUACUGAAGUGUACAAGAUGGCAUUAAACACAUCAGUGUUCAGGUCAGCCUAAGCAUGGACUAAAGAACUUGAAUAAUAACAGCUACAGGCAGCAUCUGCUCUUUUUUGGCUGUUCUUCAAGACACAUACUUUAAUUUUCUGUUACUGAUUCUACUUUGCCUCACAGAGGUUAAAAUUGUGGUGAUGACAUGGAUGAUAUUUACAUAACUAUUUCCCCUCCUAGGGUUUGCCAGAACAGAUAAAGACUUGAGAGUGGACUUGGAUUUCUGGAAACCCUAGUACUGUUUCUUUCACCAAAGGUUCUUAAAGAGAUUUGGUUGCCAUGGAAGAUUAACAUAAAUCCUUAUUAAAAAUAGAAUAAGGAAUAAAAGGUUUUUACAGUAAAAUCCCCCAGAGUUCUGUGCUAGGAUUUGUACUCUUUAGCAUGCUCAUUUUAGUUUUUUAGUAUUUUUGCUCUUUUUAAAUUUCUAGCAGCUUUUGUUUAUUUUAUCCCUCUUUAUUUUCUUGUAUUUUUCCAUAAUUCUAUGUCCUUCUCCUCUCAGACAGUGUCACAGUGCACGUCUGUCACUUCCUACCAACCUUUUCCCGCGGCCUGUUUCACAAAAACACAUUCUGUAUGUCAGCUACUUGAUUUCAAGUGCUCUUUCUCUGCAGAUUCCACCUCUCACACACUUUCCUCAUCCACUUUCUGCAGGUAGCUCCUUUUUUCCCUGGGUUUGUGCUACGUAAACCAGGGAGCAGCAGAAGUACAAGGUGGAGCCUUGUGAGGGUGACCAGGGUCAGGCCCAGUCCCGUGACCACCGGGCAGGGGCACAGUGAUGAGGCAGCUCUGGGGUCACGCCGAGCAUUCAGUCCCCACGUCACAGCCCACGAGGUGUCCCUGGCCAGGCACAGGCACAGCUGUGACACUGCUGAAUCCAGGGCUGAGCUGGAAAACGGGGUCCUGGGCAGAGCAGGGAUGGAGGCACCAGGUAAAGCCAUUCAGGGUUGAUCCUCCUUCAGAAGCACUCAGAAAUUAUUCCUAAGGGAUGGCAGUGCUGGCUAGGGCAAGGAGUGUGGCUGAGAUCCGUGUAAAAACAUGGCAGGCUGUGCAGGUUGGGUCAUCUGGGAUUAUGUCAGGAGAGAUUGGCUCACCCGGGUGCUCCUGGCUGUUGCAUCCAGGUCAGACGGGCUCCGGGUGGCUGAGUGCUCACCCAGACAGACUGGUGUCAGCACUGCAGGGGUUUGUCUGCGUCUGCAGAGAAAUAAAAUCAGCUCCACACAGAAAUCUGCCCAGCUUUUUAUAUCUUUCAAGUCACAGCUAAGCAGGGGCACAUCGGAAGCUCCCCAGCACUGGGCAGCUGUGCCUGGAGCUCAGCCGUGGGGCAGCAGCAGAACAAAGGGAUCUCUGUGCCUUACGCAGAGUAAGGUGGUUUGGGUUUAUUUUUUAAGGCUGGUUGGAGAUUUCUUUGUGAGCUGCAGCUUAUAUGAAUGUCUGUCAGUACAUUCUGGGUUUGUGCCAGUCAAGGAUUAUGACCUAUAUUAACAUCCUAGAAACAGGGGAGGCCAGCCAGGCCUGCACCUGAUGCCAGGACUGCAGCUCAAUCUCCUGAUGGCUGAUACCACUGUCACUACAUUUUAAAGUCAGGUUAAAUUACUUCUCUCAACAGGAACUUUUUUAAAAUGUGUUCACUCCUCUUGACAGUGCAUCCCUUGCCAUCUUGACAAAGCACCUGACAAUCUCUCAGUGAGGGCUGUCUUAACUUUCUUAACAGAAGAAUGGCAGUUGCUACAAUAAUUUAUUUGCUAUUCAUGAAAAUAAAAUCCAGUUCCUAGUG